rnacentral:rRNA from 1 species
AUGGAGGGGAGCAAGGACAUGCAAGAGUCAAACACUGAACCUGUUGUCAAAGUACCCAGAGAGCCUGCCAUCAUUAUCAAUGGUGUCCCAGACUUGCCUCCUGAAUUCACAUCUGGCUCACAACUUGCAGUAAGAGAGGCUCCGCGAUCUCGAGUCGAUCAUCACUUUGGUGAAUGGCUAGAAGAGCGGAAAGUGAGAAAGCGGUUUGGAGACAUAUACUAUGUAGGGAAAGUUGUCAAGUAUGACAGCCAAAGAAAUUGGUACACCGUUGUCUAUGUAGAUGGAGACCAGGAAGAUCUUGAGUGGCACGAACUGGAGGAGAUCCUGCUACCAUUGGACAUAACCAUUCCACUCAACACACUUGUGAUGGACAAAUUCAAACAUCAAAAUGCUGUUCCCGACUACAGAAGUAAGGUGGCUAGACAAAGAACUAAUAAUGUUGCUAGCAACCAGAUGGUGGUCAGAGCGGAAAAUGGCCAACAGUCAAACAACCUACCACUCCCAGGGUUGCUUCAGGCGUCAGCAUCAGCAGGAGAAAAUGCUCUAGUAUGUCUGAAACCUAGCGAUCAACCUAAGAAAAGGGGCAGGCCUCGAAAAGAUAGAAGUACAUCAGGUGAGCUUUCAAAACAAGGAAGUACAUCAGGUGAUAUUCAACCUAAAAAAAGAGGCAGGCCUCCAAAAGAACCUGGAGAGAAGAGUAUCGAUAGGCGCAAGUUAGAGACUGUCAGGGCAGAAAAACUGAAGAGAGAAAGCAUGCUUCUGCGAGGGCCACAACCUGGAAGUCAGUAA